rnacentral:rRNA from 1 species
ACCCACGUAUGUUGAAAAAUGCGGGGAUGAGGUGGGGGUAGCGGAGAAAUUCCAAUCGAACUCGGAGAUAGCUGGUUCUCCCCGAAAUAGCUUUAGGGCUAGCCUCGGAAUUUUAGAGUCGUGGAGGUAGAGCACUGAUUGGGUGCGGGGCCCGCAAGGGUUACCAAGCUCAGUCAAACUCCGAAUGCCAUAGACUUAUAUCCGGGAGUCAGACAGUGAGUGCUA